UCCCCCUAGUAUCUUAGAACCCGAGGCACCCCUUCCUUUCUUCCUAGUUGUUUUCGGCCGACUAGGGUUCUGAGAUCUGAAGAAGGGACUGAUUGGGUUUCCAGACACCUACCAUGAGAGCUAAGUGGAAGAAGAAGCGCAUGAGGAGGUUGAAGAGGAAGCGCCGAAAGAUGAGGCAGCGAUCCAAGUAGAACUUGAGUUCGGCUCAUGGCGGUUUUUGUCUUCAGAGUUUAGAGUCGUGCCCCCCCCCCCCCCCCCCAAUUUGCCUGUUCAAGAUGCUGGAAAUGUGAUUUUAUUAUUGCUUAACUUCACUUUUCUAGUAAUGCUUCCUCAUGAUGUUGUUAAUGAAUUUAGUAAUUUAGGCUUGUCUUAGGAUUAGCGAUUUAUAUUUUCGGGAUUUGCGUGCUCUGAUUAGUAUUAUUAUCACCUUUUUGCUUGAUUUAGUUCGUGCGUACUUCUAUUUUGUUACUCUAAAUUAUGUUUUCUCACAGGGCUGAUGAUUGGAAAUGACUGCUAAACUUUGAACUAUCUA